AUGGGUGUGAAAAACACCCACGCCGAAAGACCAAGGGUUCCUGCGCAACGUUAAUCGACGCAGGGUUAGUCGGUUCCUAAGGCGAGGCUUAAAAGCGUAGUCGAUGGGAAACAGGUUAAUAUUCCUGUACUUCUGGUUACUGCGAUGGAGGGACGGAGAAGGCUAGGCCAGCUUGGCGUUGGUUGUCCAAGUUUAAGGUUGUAGGCUGAAGUCUUAGGUAAAUCCGGGGUUUCAAGGCCGAGAGCUGAUGACGAGUCGUCUUUUAGAUUACGAAGUGGUUGAUGCCAUGCUUCCAAGAAAAGCUUC
rnacentral:rRNA from 1 species